UUUCCGUAGGUGAACCUGCGGAAGGAUCAUUCAUAAUAAAGUGUUUUAUGGCACUUUUUAAAAAUCCAUAUCCACCUCGUGUGCAAUGUUAGAUCUCGUCAAUCUUGGCGAGAUUUUUAUACAUCAACUCAUUUUUUAACUAAUUUGUCUGAAAAAUAUUAUGAAUACUUAAUUCAAAAUACAACUUUCAACAACGGAUCUCUUGGCUCUC
rnacentral:misc_RNA from 1 species